rnacentral:rRNA from 1 species
GACGAACGCUGGCGGCGUGCUUAACACAUGCAAGUCGAACGAAGCACUUUACUACGAUUUCUUCGGAAUGACGGUUUUGUGACUGAGUGGCGGACGGGUGAGUAACGCGUGGAUAACCUGCCUCAUACAGGGGGAUAACAGCCGGAAACGGCUGCUAAUACCGCAUGACAUAUAUUAAGGGCAUCCUUGAUAUAUCAAAGAUUUUAUCGCUGAAAGAUGGCCUCGCGUCCGAUUAGAUAGUUGGCGGGGUAACGGCCCACCAAGUCGACGAUUCAGUAGCCGGUCUGAGAGGAUGAACGGCCACAUUGGAACUGAGACACGGUCC